rnacentral:rRNA from 1 species
CAGUCGCCGCGGUAAUACGAAGGGUGCAAGCGUUAAUCGGAAUUACUGGGCGUAAAGCGUGCGUAGGCGGUGAGUUAAGUCUGCUGUGAAAUCCCCGAGCUUAACUUGGGAACUGCAUUUGAAACUGGCAAGCUAGAGUCUUGUAGAGGGGGGUAGAAUUCCAGGUGUAGCGGUGAAAUGCGUAGAGAUCUGGAGGAAUUCCGGUGGCGAAGGCGGCCCCCUGGGCCAAUACUGACGCUCAUGCACGAAAGCGUGGGGAGCAAACAGGAUUAGAUACCCCAGUAGUCCCUGUCUCUUAUAC